rnacentral:rRNA from 1 species
ACGGGAGGCUGCGGUAGGGAAUAUUGCACAAUGGGGGGAACCCUGAUGCAGCAACGCCACGUGUGGGAAGAAGCAUUUCGGUGUGUAAACCACUGUCGUGAGGGAAUAAUGCUCGGUCUCUGCCGAGUUGAAUGUACCUCGCAAGGAAGCACCGGCAAACUUCGUGCCAGCAGCCGCGGUAAUACGAGGGGGGCAAGCGUUGUUCGGAAUCACUGGGCGUAAAGGGAGCGUAGGCGGAGACGCAAGCAGUCUGUACAAUACCGGGGCCCAACCCCGGACCUGCAGACUGGACUGUGUCUCUUGGAUAGUUCAGGGGGAGGCGGAAUUUCUGGUGUAGCGGUGGAAUGCGUAGAGAUCAGGAAGAACACCGAUGGCGAAGGCAGCCUGCUGGGGACUCAUCGACGCUGAGGCUCGAAAGUGCGGGUAGCAAACAGGAUUAGAUUACCCUGGUA